rnacentral:rRNA from 1 species
GUGAGGAAUAUUGGACAAUGGGCGCAAGCCUGAUCCAGCCAUGCCGCGUGCGGGAAGACGCAUCUAUGGUGUGUAAACUGCUUUUGUACGGGAAGAAACACUCCCUCGUGAGGGAGCUUGACGGUACCGUAAGAAUAAGGAUCGGCUAACUCCGUGCCAGCAGCCGCGGUAAUACGGAGGAUCCAAGCGUUAUCCGGAAUCAUUGGGUUUAAAGGGUCCGUAGGCGGUUUAAUAAGUCAGUGGUGAAAGCCCAUCGCUCAACGAUGGAACGGCCAUUGAUACUGUUAGACUUGAAUUACAAGGAAGUAACUAGAAUAUGUAGUGUAGCGGUGAAAUGCUUAGAUAUUACAUGGAAUACCAAUUGCGAAGGCAGGUUACUACUUGUGGAUUGACGCUGAUGGACGAAAGCGUGGGGAGCGAACAGGAUUAGAUACCCGUGUAGUCC